rnacentral:rRNA from 1 species
UACGUAGGUGGCGAGCGUUGUUCGGAUUUACUGGGCGUAAAGGGCGUGCAGGCGGUUUGUUAAGUGCAGGGUGAAAGCUCCCGGCUCAACUGGGAGAGGUCCUUGCAUACUGGCGAACUCGAGGGAGGCAGAGGAAAGUGGAAUUCCCGGUGUAGUGGUGAUAUGCGUAGAUAUCGGGAGGAACACCUGUGGCGAAGGCGGUUCUCUGGGAAUAUCCUGACGCUGAGGAGCGAAAGUGUGGGGAGCGAACAGG